AGCUGCGCGAAGUCUCCUCUUGAAAGUUGGAUUACUGCACUUCUGGAUCACAGGCUAUUCGCAGCUGGACACAUCCUUCUACACUGUAUGCAAACAUGCAACAUCAUUACACACAGUACAAGGAGUCAGACUGGCAUAUGAGGAGCAAAGGAACCCAGGCAGUAGCGUCGUUUCACAAUGUUUCCAUCACCAUCAUCAGUGGAUGCCUUUGCUGUCCGUAGCCUGAGAUUUCAGAUUUGCAGCAAAAAAAAAUUUAUUUUCUCAUUUAUUGGAAUGCUGUGCAGGUAUUUGUACCUUGCAGCCAUCCAUUACAAUGUCACCAAGCCGUAACAAAAGCAGGAGAGGGAAAGUACAAGGCUAUGUUCCCAAAACACACAAGUGACAUACCUUAUGUGGAUGAUGUGAUCAGGCUUGUGUUUGAUGAGGUAUUUGAAGAUAAGCUGAAGGAAGCCCUGAUUCCAAUGGACCUGGCAUCACAGUUUGAGAGACCUUCAAAGGAGGACGUGAUUGCAUGCCAUCUUCAGUGCA